GAUGAAGAACGUAGCGAAAUGUGAAAAGUAGUGUGAAUUGCAGAAUUCAGUGAAUCAUCGAAUCUUUGAACGCACAUUGCGCCUCGCGGUAUUCUGGCGGGCAUGCCUGUUCGAGCGUCAUUUCAACCAUCAAGCGCCUGCGCUUGUGUUGGAGCCCUGCGGCUGCCGCAGGCUCUCAAACCCAGUGGCGGGCUCGUCGUCGUACCGAGUGCAGUAAAUUUACCACGCUCAGGGCACGCGACGGGUGACCGGCCGUAAAACCCCCAUCUUCUCAAGGUUGACCUCGGAUCAGGUAGGAAUACCCGCUGAACUUAAGCAUAUCAAUAAGCGGAGGA
rnacentral:misc_RNA from 1 species